rnacentral:rRNA from 1 species
CCUACGGGGGGCAGCAGUGAGGAAUAUUGGUCAAUGGGCGCGAGCCUGAACCAGCCAAGUAGCGUGAAGGAUGACUGCCCUACGGGUUGUAAACUUCUUUUAUAAAGGAAUAAAGUGAGGCACGUGUGCCUUUUUGUAUGUACUUUAUGAAUAAGGAUCGGCUAACUCCGUGCCAGCAGCCGCGGUAAUACGGAGGAUCCGAGCGUUAUCCGGAUUUAUUGGGUUUAAAGGGAGCGUAGAUGGGUUGUUAAGUCAGUUGUGAAAGUUUGCGGCUCAACCGUAAAAUUGCAAUUGAUAAUGGCAGCCUUGAGUACAGUUGAGGUAGGCGGAAUUCGUGGUGUAGCGGUGAAAUGCUUAGAUAUCACGAAGAACUCCGAUUGCGAAGGCAGCUUACCGGCGCUCAACUGACGCUCAUGCACGAAAGUGUGGGUAUCGAACAGGAUUAGAUACCCGAGUAGUC